UUACUGCGAAGGGGGGACGGAGAAGGCUAUGUUGGCCGGGCGACGGUUGUCCCGGUUUAAGCGUGUAGGCUGGUUUUCCAGGCAAAUCCGGAAAAUCAAGGCUGAGGCGUGAUGACGAGGCACUACGGUGCUGAAGCAACAAAUGCCCUGCUUCCAGGAAAAGCCUCUAAGCAUCAGGUAACAUCAAAUCGUACCCCAAACCGACACAGGUGGUCAGGUAGAGAAUACCAAGGCGCUUGAGAGAACUCGGGUGAAGGAACUAGGCAAAAUGGUGCCGUAACUUCGGGAGAAGGCACGCUGAUAUGUAGGUGAAGUCCCUCGCGGAUGGAGCUGAAAUCAGUCGAAGAUACCAGCUGGCUGCAACUGUUUAUUAAAAACACAGCACUGUGCAAACACGAAAGUGGACGUAUACGGUGUGACGCCUGCCCGGUGCCGGAAGGUUAAUUGAUGGGGUCAGCGCAAGCGAAGCUCUUGAUCGAAGCCCCGGUAAACGGCGGCCGUAACUAUAACGGUCCUAAGGUAGCGAAAUUCCUUGUCGGGUAAGUUCCGACCUGCACGAAUGGCGUAAUGAUGGCCAGGCUGUCUCCACCCGAGACUCAGUGAAAUUGAACUCGCUGUGAAGAUGCAGUGUACCCGCGGCAAGACGGAAAGACCCCGUGAACCUUUACUAUAGCUUGACACUGAACAUUGAGCCUUGAUGUGUAGGAUAGGUGGGAGGCUUUGAAGUGUGGACGCCAGUCUGCAUGGAGCCGACCUUGAAAUACCACCCUUUAAUGUUUGAUGUUCUAACGUGGACCCGUGAUCCGGGUUGCGGACAGUGUCUGGUGGGUAGUUUGACUGGGGCGGUCUCCUCCUAAAGAGUAACGGAGGAGCACGAAGGUUGGCUAAUCCUGGUCGGACAUCAGGAGGUUAGUGCAAUGGCAUAAGCCAGCUUGACUGCGAGCGUGACGGCGCGAGCAGGUGCGAAAGCAGGUCAUAGUGAUCCGGUGGUUCUGAAUGGAAGGGCCAUCGCUCAACGGAUAAAAGGUACUCCGGGGAUAACAGGCUGAUACCGCCCAAGAGUUCAUAUCGACGGCGGUGUUUGGCACCUCGAUGUCGGCUCAUCACAUCCUGGGGCUGAAGUAGGUCCCAAGGGUAUGGCUGUUCGCCAUUUAAAGUGGUACGCGAGCUGGGUUUAGAACGUCGUGAGACAGUUCGGUCCCUAUCUGCCGUGGGCGCUGGAGAACUGAGGGGGGCUGCUCCUAGUACGAGAGGACCGGAGUGGACGCAUCACUGGUGUUCGGGUUGUCAUGCCAAUGGCACUGCCCGGUAGCUAAAUGCGGAAGAGAUAAGUGCUGAAAGCAUCUAAGCACGAAACUUGCCCCGAGAUGAGUUCUCCCUGACCCUUUAAGGGUCCUGAAGGAACGUUGAAGACGACGACGUUGAUAGGCCGGGUGUGUAAGCGCAGCGAUGCGUUGAGCUAACCGGUACUAAUGAACCGUGAGGCUUAACCUU
rnacentral:rRNA from 1 species